UUUUUGAGAGACUUUUAUUCUGACGUUUCUGUGCUCAUUUCCUGUGUCCACCUGUAAAAAGCUGCUUUUGCUCCACUCUCGGAGUGGUCCACGCUGGGAUUAAAACGGAUGUGCUCAGAAGUCAAAGUGGAAGAAUCGGCUCCAGCGAUCGAUCAAGUCAUUGAUAAACUGAAGAGCAGGCGUCCGCUGAGGGUUCAGAGAAGUGCUCUCUGUACAGCACUCAGGAUAACGCUUUAUGUUGCAGAUUCACCAUCUCCCGCUGAACACAAAUACCCCGUUGUGGCUGUUGCAGUCGAGUGAGGAGGUGAUUGAGGUUCCAGCAGAUAUAUCAAUGUGCUGAUGUGGGAUCAGCGGCCCGUCACAUGUCCUGUGUGUCUCUGAACACUUCUGUCUGGAGCUGCAGUGCUGCGAUCAAUAGCAGUUAAUUUCAGUGCACAGACUCACAUGUGCGUGUGAUGAGAGAUGAUGCAUCAUACUGCCGCUCUGCCGGGAGCUCUGAUACGGCGGUAAAAUCAUGAUGGACACAACUACUGUCCAUGCAUCUGUGAGUUUGCCAUGAGGUUCUUGUAGCUGUUGGGCAAACGU